AACUGCCCGAUGGAGGGGGAUAACUACUGGAAACGGUAGCUAAUACCGCAUAACGUCGCAAGACCAAAGAGGGGGACCUUCGGGCCUCUUGCCAUCGGAUGUGCCCAGAUGGGAUUAGCUAGUUGGUGAGGUAACGGCUCACCAAGGCGACGAUCCCUAGCUGGUCUGAGAGGAUGACCAGCCACACUGGAACUGAGACACGGUCCAGACUCCUACGGGAGGCAGCAGUGGGGAAUAUUGCACAAUGGGCGCAAGCCUGAUGCAGCCAUGCCGCGUGUAUGAAGAAGGCCUUCGGGUUGUAAAGUACUUUCAGCGGGGAGGAAGGGAGUAAAGUUAAUACCUUUGCUCAUUGACGUUACCCGCAGAAGAAGCACCGGCUAACUCCGUGCCAGCAGCCGCGGUAAUACGGAGGGUGCAAGCGUUAAUCGGAAUUACUGGGCGUAAAGCGCACGCAGGCGGUUUGUUAAGUCAGAUGUGAAAUCCCCGGGCUCAACCUGGGAACUGCAUCUGAUACUGGCAAGCUUGAGUCUCGUAGAGGGGGGUAGAAUUCCAGGUGUAGCGGUGAAAUGCGUAGAGAUCUGGAGGAAUACCGGUGGCGAAGGCGGCCCCCUGGACGAAGACUGACGCUCAGGUGCGAAAGCGUGGGGAGCAAACAGGAUUAGAUACCCUGGUAGUCCACGCCGUAAACGAUGUCGACUUGGAGGUUGUGCCCUUGAGGCGUGGCUUCCGGAGCUAACGCGUUAAGUCGACCGCCUGGGGAGUACGGCCGCAAGGUUAAAACUCAAAUGAAUUGACGGGGGCCCGCACAAGCGGUGGAGCAUGUGGUUUAAUUCGAUGCAACGCGAAGAACCUUACCUGGUCUUGACAUCCACGGAAGUUUUCAGAGAUGAGAAUGUGCCUUCGGGAACCGUGAGACAGGUGCUGCAUGGCUGUCGUCAGCUCGUGUUGUGAAAUGUUGGGUUAAGUCCCGCAACGAGCGCAACCCUUAUCCUUUGUUGCCAGCGGUCCGGCCGGGAACUCAAAGGAGACUGCCAGUGAUAAACUGGAGGAAGGUGGGGAUGACGUCAAGUCAUCAUGGCCCUUACGACCAGGGCUACACACGUGCUACAAUGGCGCAUACAAAGAGAAGCGACCUCGCGAGAGCAAGCGGACCUCAUAAAGUGCGUCGUAGUCCGGAUUGGAGUCUGCAACUCGACUCCAUGAAGUCGGAAUCGCUAGUAAUCGUGGAUCAGAAUGCCACGGUGAAUACGUUCCCGGGCCUUGUACACACCGCCCGUCACACCAUGGGAGUGGGUUGCAAAAGAAGUAGGUAGCUUAACCUUCGGGAGGGCGCUUACCACUUUGUGAUUCAUGACUGGGGUGAAGUCGUAACAAGGUAACCGUAGGGGAACCUGCGGUUGGAUCACCUCCUUACCUUAAAGAA
rnacentral:rRNA from 1 species